GACGAACGCUGGCGGCGUGCUUAACACAUGCCAGUCGAACGGAAAGGCCCUGCUUUUGUGGGGUGCUCGAGUGGCGAACGGGUGAGUAACACGUGAGUAACCUGCCCUUGACUUUGGGAUAACUUCAGGAAACUGGGGCUAAUACCGGAUAGGAGCUCCUGCUGCAUGGUGGGGGUUGGAAAGUUUCGGCGGUUGGGGAUGGACUCGCGGCUUAUCAGCUUGUUGGUGGGGUAGUGGCUUACCAAGGCUUUGACGGGUAGCCGGCCUGAGAGGGUGACCGGCCAAAUGGGGAGGGGGAGAGGGCCAGGAUCCCUAGGGGGGGAAGGGGGGGGGAAUUUUGCAAAAGGGGGGGAAGCCGGAGGGAGCAACGCCGGGGGGGGGAGGGGGGCCGUGGGGUGGGAAACCGCUUUCGCCUGGGACGAAGGGGGGGGGGGGGAAAUGGGUAAAGAAGCACGGGCAAACUAGGG
rnacentral:rRNA from 1 species